GAUGAACGCUGGCGGCGUGCCUAAUACAUGCAAGUCGAGCGAACAGACGAUGAGCUUGUUCCUCUGACGAUAGCGGCGGGCGUGGGAAUAACACGUGGAUAACCUACCUGUCAGUCUGGGAUAACCUCGAAAAACCGGCGCUAAUACCGUAUAAUAUAUUGCACCGUAUGGUUGAAUAGUAAGAGACGGUUUUGCUGUAACUUCUAGAUGGAUCCGCGCGGCAUUGGCUAGUUGGUAAGGUAACGGUGUACUAAGGCAACGAUGCGUAGCCGACGUGAGAGGGGGAUAGGCAACAAGGGAACAUGGACACGGUCAAGACGACUACGAGAGGCAGCAGAAGGGAAUCGUGCGCAAGAGGGGAAAGCGUGACGGAGUAGAGGGACGCGAGAGAUGAAAGCGUUGGGAUCGUAAAGCUCUGUUAUUGGGGAAGAACAAAUGUGGAAGUAACUAUGUAGGGAUUGACGGUACGUAAUCAGAAAGCCACGGCUAACUACGUG
rnacentral:rRNA from 1 species